rnacentral:rRNA from 1 species
GUUGGGUAGGGGAGCGUUCUGUAAGCCUGUGAAGGUGUGUCGUGAGGCAUGCUGGAGGUAUCAGAAGUGCGAAUGCUGACAUAAGUAACGAUAAAGCGGGUGAAAAGCCCGCUCGCCGGAAGACCAAGGGUUCCUGUCCAACGUUAAUCGGGGCAGGGUGAGUCGACCCCUAAGGCGAGGCCGAAAGGCGUAGUCGAUGGGAAACGGGUUAAUAUUCCCGUACUUGGUGUUACUGCGAAGGGGGGACGGAGAAGGCUAUGUUGGCCGGGCGACGGUUGUCCCGGUUUAAGCGUGUAGGUGUGUGUUCCAGGUAAAUCCGGUUCACUUUAACACUGAGGCGUGACGACGAGGCACUACGGUGCUGAAGCAACAAAUGCCCUGCUUCCAGGAAAAGCCUCUAAGCAUCAGGUAACACGAAAUCGUACCCCAAACCGACACAGGUGGUCAGGUAGAGAAUACCAAGGCGCUUGAGAGAACUCGGGUGAAGGAACUAGGCAAAAUGGUGCCGUAACUUCGGGAGAAGGCACGCUGACACGUAGGUGAAGUGAUUUACUCAUGGAGCUGAAGUCAGUCGAAGAUACCAGCUGGCUGCAACUGUUUAUUAAAAACACAGCACUGUGCAAACACGAAAGUGGACGUAUACGGUGUGACGCCUGCCCGGUGCCGGAAGGUUAAUUGAUGGGGUCAGCGUAAGCGAAGCUCCUGAUCGAAGCCCCGGUAAACGGCGGCCGUAACUAUAACGGUCCUAAGGUAGCGAAAUUCCUUGUCGGGUAAGUUCCGACCUGCACGAAUGGCGUAAUGAUGGCCAGGCUGUCUCCACCCGAGACUCAGUGAAAUUGAACUCGCUGUGAAGAUGCAGUGUACCCGCGGCAAGACGGAAAGACCCCGUGAACCUUUACUAUAGCUUGACACUGAACAUUGAGCCUUGAUGUGUAGGAUAGGUGGGAGGCUUUGAAGUGUGGACGCCAGUCUGCAUGGAGCCGACCUUGAAAUACCACCCUUUAAUGUUUGAUGUUCUAACGUGGACCCGUAAUCCGGGUUGCGGACAGUGUCUGGUGGGUAGUUUGACUGGGGCGGUCUCCUCCUAAAGAGUAACGGAGGAGCACGAAGGUUGGCUAAUCCUGGUCGGACAUCAGGAGGUUAGUGCAAUGGCAUAAGCCAGCUUGACUGCGAGCGUGACGGCGCGAGCAGGUGCGAAAGCAGGUCAUAGUGAUCCGGUGGUUCUGAAUGGAAGGGCCAUCGCUCAACGGAUAAAAGGUACUCCGGGGAUAACAGGCUGAUACCGCCCAAGAGUUCAUAUCGACGGCGGUGUUUGGCACCUCGAUGUCGGCUCAUCACAUCCUGGGGCUGAAGUAGGUCCCAAGGGUAUGGCUGUUCGCCAUUUAAAGUGGUACGCGAGCUGGGUUUAGAACGUCGUGAGACAGUUCGGUCCCUAUCUGCCGUGGGCGCUGGAGAACUGAGGGGGGCUGCUCCUAGUACGAGAGGACCGGAGUGGACGCAUCACUGGUGUUCGGGUUGUCAUGCCAAUGGCACUGCCCGGUAGCUAAAUGCGGAAGAGAUAAGUGCUGAAAGCAUCUAAGCACGAAACUUGCCCCGAGAUGAGUUCUCCCUGAGACUUAGAGUCUCCUGAAGGAACGUUGAAGACGACGACGUUGAUAGGCCGGGUGUGUAAGCGCAGCGAUGCGUUGAGCUAACCGGUACUAAUGAACCGUGAGGCUUAACCUUACAACGCCGAAG